UCAAGCUAAUAAGAGCGCAAGGGGAAUGCCUUGGCAUCAAGAGCCGAUGAAGGACGUGACAAGCUGCGAUAAGCUGCGGGGAGCUGCACAUAAGCAUUGAUCCGCAGAUUUCCGAAUGGGGAAACCCGUCAGAGCAAUACUCUGACAACGUGCAUUGAACAAAAUAGGUGUACGUGGGGAACCGCCUGAACUGAAACAUCUAAGUAGGGCGAGGAAGAGAAAUCAAAAGAGAUUCCGCUAGUAGUGGCGAGCGAACGCGGAAGAGGGCAAACCGGAGGAUUUAUUCUCCGGGGUUGAGGACCGACGCACGAUACAAUAGGUUAGCUGAACGGCAUGGGAAGGCCGACCAGAGCGGGUGAUAGUCCCGUAAGCGAAAACCGAUUUGUGUCAGUUGGGAUCCAGAGUACCGCAGGACACGUGAAACCCUGUGGGAAACUGGGGGGACCACCCUCCAACCCUAAAUACUACUUGAUGACCGAUAGAGGAGCAGUACCGUGAGGGAAAGGUGAAAAGGACCCCGGGAGGGGAGUGAAAGAGAACCUGAAACCUUGUGCUUACAAGCACUCAAAGCCCGUUAAAGGGUGAUGAGGUACUUUUUGUAGAACGGUCCGGCGAGUUAUUGUAUGUAGCAAGCUUAAGGUAUUCAGUACCGGAGGCGAAGCGAGAGCGAGUCUGAACAGGGCGAAAUGAAGUUGCAUGCAAUAGACCCGAAACCAGGUGACCUAUCCAUGAGCAGGUUGAAGUGGAGGUAAAACUCCAUGGAGGACCGAACCGACCCCCGUUGCAAUGGUGGCGGAUGACUUGUGGAUAGCGGAGAAAUUCCAAUCGAACUUGGAGAUAGCUGGUUCUCCCCGAAAUAGCUUUAGGGCUAGCGUUGAUUUAGAUUACCGGAGGUAAAGCACUGAAUGGGCUAGGGGCUGAUAAAGUUACUGAACCCUAUCAAACUCAGAAUGCCGGAUAAUUGAUGAUCAGCAGUCAGACUACGUGAGAUAAGUCUCGUGGUCAAAAGGGAAACAGCCCAGACCUACAGCUAAGGUCCCAAAUAUACGCUAAGUGGAAAACGAUGUGGAAUUGCGAAAACAACCAGGAUGUUGGCUUAGAAGCAGCCACACAUUAAAAGAGUGCGUAAUAGCUCACUGGUCGAGUGACUCUGCGCGGAAAAUGUAACGGGGCUAAGCGUAUAACCGAAGCUUAGGAUGCAGCAAUGCGUGGUAGGGGAGCGUCGAAUACGGGGUGAAGUCGCAGCGGAAGCAGCGGUGGACUGUAUUCGAGUGAGAAUGCCGGAAUGAGUAGCGAGAAUUAUGUGGGAAUCAUAAUGGCCGAAAAUCUAAGGUUUCUUGGGGAAGGUUCGUCCGCCCAAGGUAAGCCGGGAGCUAAGGCGAGGCCGAGAGGCGUAGUCGAUGCACAUACGGUUGAAAUUCCGUAGCCACCGAAAUUUAAACUAGAGGGACACUUGAAACUAUCUGGACCCGGGCGUUGGUUGACCCGGGCGAAAGGGACCGAAAUCAAGUAGGGAAGCCAGAGAACGUCGAGGCGAGAAAAGUUCUAGUGAAUGCUAAGGUGCCCGUACCGCAAACCGACACAGGUAGAUGAGGAGAGGAUCCUAAGGCCAACGGGAGAAGGGUUGUUAAGGAACUCGGCAAAAUUACCCCGUAACUUCGGGAUAAGGGGAGCUCCCUAAGGGGAGCCGCAGAGAAUAGGCCCAAGCGACUGUUUACCAAAAACACAGGUCUAUGCUAAAUCGAAAGAUGACGUAUAUGGGCUGACGCCUGCCCGGUGCUGGAAGGUUAAGAGGAGAGCUUAGCGCAAGCGAAGGUUUGAAUUGAAGCCCCAGUAAACGGCGGCCGUAACUAUAACGGUCCUAAGGUAGCGAAAUUCCUUGUCAGGUAAGUUCUGACCCGC
rnacentral:rRNA from 1 species